rnacentral:rRNA from 1 species
ACUCCUACGGGAGGCAGCAGUGGGGAAUAUUGGACAAUGGGGGCAACCCUGAUCCAGCCAUGCCGCGUGAGUGAAGAAGGCCUUAGGGUUGUAAAGCUCUUUCGCUAGGGAAGAUAAUGACGGUACCUAGUAAAGAAGUCCCGGCUAACUCCGUGCCAGCAGCCGCGGUAAUACGGAGGGGACUAGCGUUGUUCGGAAUUACUGGGCGUAAAGAGUACGUAGGCUGUUAGUCAAGUUGGGUGUGAAAGCCCGGGGCUCAACCCCGGAACUGCACUCAAAACUGGCUGACUAGAGUUCGGAAGAGGUAAGUGGAAUUCCCAGUGUAGAGGUGAAAUUCGUAGAUAUUGGGAAGAACACCAGUGGCGAAGGCGGCUUACUGGUCCGAAACUGACGCUGAGGUACGAAAGCGUGGGGAGCGAACAGGAUUAGAUACCCUGGUAGGAUAGCG